rnacentral:rRNA from 1 species
UACGGAAGGCAGCAGCGGGGAAUAUUGCACAAUGGGCGCAAGCCUGAUGCAGCCAUGCCGCGUGUAUGAAAAAGGCCUUCGGGUUGUAAAGUACUUUCAGUCGUGAGGAAGGUGUUAAGGUUAAUAACCUUAGCAAUUGACGUUAGCGACAGAAGAAGCACCGGCUAACUCCGUGCCAGCAGCCGCGGUAAUACGGAGGGUGCGAGCGUUAAUCGGAAUUACUGGGCGUAAAGGGCACGCAGGCGGUUAAUUAAGUUGGAUGUGAAAUCCCCGGGCUUAACCUGGGAAUGGCAUUCAAGACUGGUUAGCUAGAGUCUUGUAGAGGGGGUAGAAUUCCAUGUGUAGCGGUGAAAUGCGUAGAGAUGUGGAGGAAUACCGGUGGCGAAGGCGGCCCCUGGACAAAGACUGACGCUCAUGUGCGAAAGCGUGGGGAGCAAACAGGGAUUAGAUACC